rnacentral:ncRNA from 1 species
GCGUUGGUUCCUGUCCUAUGACAGGCGAAGAGGGAAUGCGAUAGGGCUCAAGUCGGGCCUGAAAAGCAGCCGCCCCCGCGACCGUGACCGGAGAGAUGCCCAAAGCCACUGAUUCCCCAAGGGGAUCGGGAAGGCGGGGAUCGAAGGGAGAAAUCCUGCUCCGCAAGCCGGGAGACCUGCCAACGCAGC